rnacentral:piRNA from 1 species
UCCAUAGCAACAGUCACUGCUUCUUAGGUC